GCCCCAAUAGCUCAACGGACAGAGCGAGGCUCUCCUAAGGCCGAGAUCCGGGUUCGAAUCCCGGUUGGGGCU
rnacentral:tRNA from 1 species